UACGUAGGGUGCAAGCGUUGUCCGGAAUUAUUGGGCGUAAAGAGCUCGUAGGCGGUCUGUCGCGUCGGCUGUGAAAUCCCGGAGCUCAACUCCGGGCCUGCAGUCGAUACGGGCAGACUAGAGUUCGGCAGGGGAGACUGGAAUUCCUGGUGUAGCGGUGAAAUGCGCAGAUAUCAGGAGGAACACCGGUGGCGAAGGCGGGUCUCUGGGCCGAUACUGACGCUGAGGAGCGAAAGCGUGGGGAGCGAACAGG
rnacentral:rRNA from 1 species